UACAGAAGCCCCGAGCAUUACCCGGAUUCACUGGGCGUAAAGGGUGCGUAGGCGGAUAUGUUAGUCGGGUGUUAAAUCCUGAGGCUCAACCUCAGGCUCGCAUCCGAAACGGCAUAUCUAGAAGGUGUGAGAGGUAAACAGAACUCAUGGUGUAGGGGUGAAAUCCGUUGAUUUCAUGGGGAAUACCAAAUGCGAAGGCAGUUUACUGGCACAUUCUUGACGCUGAGGCACGAAAGCGUGGGUAGCGAACGGG
rnacentral:misc_RNA from 1 species